AUUGAACGCUGGCGGAAUGCUUUACACAUGCAAGUCGAACGGCAGCACGGACUUCGGUCUGGUGGCGAGUGGCGAACGGGUGAGUAAUGUAUCGGAACGUGCCCAGUCGUGGGGGAUAACGUAGUGAAAAUUACGCUAAUACCGCAUACGAUCUAUGGAUGAAAGCGGGGGAUCGCAAGACCUCGCGCGAUUGGAGCGGCCGAUAUCAGAUUAGGUAGUUGGUGGGGUAAAGGCCCACCAAGCCAACGAUCUGUAGCUGGUCUGAGAGGACGACCAGCCACACUGGAACUGAGACACGGUCCAGACUCCUACGGGAGGCAGCAGUGGGGAAUUUUGGACAAUGGCGAAAGCCUGAUCCAGCCAUUCCGCGUGCAGGAUGAAGGCCCUCGGGUUGUAAACUGCUUUUGUACAGAACGAAAAGGUUUCUACUAAUACUAGGAGCUCAUGACGGUACUGUAAGAAUAAGCACCGGCUAACUACGUGCCAGCCGCCGCCGUAA
rnacentral:rRNA from 1 species